rnacentral:rRNA from 1 species
AUUGAACGCUGGCGGCAUGCUUUACACAUGCAUGUCGAACGGUAACAGGCCGCAAGGUGCUGACGAGUGGCGAACGGGUGAGUAAUGCAUCGGAACGUGCCCAGUCGUGGGGGAUAACGCAGCGAAAGCUGCGCUAAUACCGCAUACGAUCUCUGGAUGAAAGCGGGGGACCGAAAGGCCUCGCGCGAUUGGAGCGGCCGAUGUCAGAUUAGGUGGUUGGUGGGGUAAAGGCCCACCAAGCCAACGAUCUGUAGCUGGUCUGAGAGGACGACCAGCCACACUGGGACUGGGAACCGGCCCAGACUCCUACGGGAGGCAGCAGUGGGGAAUUUUGGAAAAUGGGCGCAAGCCUGAUCCAGAAAUGCCGCGUGCAGGAAGAAGGCCUUCGGGUUGUAAACUGCUUUUGUACGGAACGAAACGGUUCGGGUUAAUACCCUGGGCUAAUGACGGUACCGUAAGAAUAAGCAUCGGCUAACUACGUGCCAGCCGCCGCGGUAAGAC